GACAAACGCUGGCGGCAUGCCUAACACAUGCAAGUCGAACGGACAGAACAGGGAAGCUUUUCGGAGUGGAACUGGAAAGUUAGUGGCGGAUGGGUGAGUAACGCGUGGACAACCUACCUUGUAAAGGGGAAUAACCUCGAGAAAUCGAAGCUAAUACCCCAUAAUAACCUUGCUUCGCAUGAAGUAAGGAGGAAAGGCGGCCUUAGCGCUGUCGAUACAAGAUGGGUCCGCGUCUGAUUAGCUAGUUGGUGAGGUAACGGCUCACCAAGGCGACGAUCAGUAGCCGGCGUGAGAGGGUGAACGGCCACAUUGGGACUGAGACACGGCCCAAACUCCUACGGGAGGCAGCAGUGGGGAAUCUUCCGCAAUGGGCGAAAGCCUGACGGAGCAAUGCCGCGUGAGUGAAGAAGGCCUUCGGGUUGUAAAACUCUGUCCUUAUCGAAGAGAGAGUGUUGUAGUAACUGACAAUACUAGGACGGUAGAUGAGGAGGAAGCCCCGGCUAACUAUGUG
rnacentral:rRNA from 1 species